AUGCAGCAGCACAUUCUGGUGAGGGGCAAAGCAAACAAGCUGCUGAGGCAGACUGACAGGAUGAGAAAUGGAGAACAAGGAGCAGAGCCUAGCGAGGGAACCCGACACCCUAUGCGCUGGCCAGGGAACUUGCCUCUCUUCUCUUCGCUCUGUCGCAGCACGCUCGGCACCUCCAGGGCUCAGGUACCAAGUUUUCCAAGUCACGUUGUGCCAGGAGCUGAACUGAGGAGCAGUCACAUGCAUGAUGGCACAGAAGAAAACACAAUGCAGAAGCAGCACACCUGUGGAGUCUGGUUUCUACCUCUCCCCAGAGAGGAGUGCUCAUGUUUUGGGGCUCAGAGGGAGCACAGCUUCUUUGAAUGCAGCUGCAGAUCAAACCAGUAAGGGUGGCAUCCUUCAGGUACACCCUCAGGGUUGGUUUUGCAGACAGCUUUCACACCUGCUGCCUCUUCUGGUUUGUUAGGAAAGAAGCAAGAAUUGGACAUGGCCCCUUGGCACCAGCAGUCAUACAAAUAGCCAGACAGACUUAGCUGUGGGACUGCAUGCCCUCUUCGCUGAGCCAGCAGAAGGCAUCAGCAGGCCUGCUAACACUCUUCCUAACAUGACCUUCACUCUGGCCUGCUUCGAACACAGUGACCUUGAGCCCUUCCAGCUGUACUUAGAGAGGUUAAUAUUCAUCUCCUGCAGGGCAGUUGCUGAGUGACUCCCACAACAUGCCACGCUGUGAAAGUUCAGGUCAGGGCAGCUCUGACCCCAUCACCAGCCACCCAAAGGACAGCCAGCAGAAGAGGACCAAACCUCCCAUCACCAUGCUGGUGGCAGACCUUGAGAUGUUAGAGCUGGGGGCUUGAGGAGCUGCAGACAUAUACAAGCACUUUGGAGGUGCUUGUAUAUGUCUGUGCUGGCCCUUGAGAGGUCUCUUCUCCUUUGCCCAAAGAGAACGAGGUUGAUGCCGCCUCAGCUCGGACACAAAUAUCCCCCAGCCCAGGGAGCAGGGACACAGCACCCUGAUGAAGGAGAUGUCCCAAAGGUCCCUAGACACAACACACCUGGUUCACGGUGAUGCCACUCAGCUGACAGCUUGCCUGGCUGCUCUCCCAGGAGGCACAGAGGGAGCUUGUUACUGUCACAGGCAUGGUGGUAAAGCUAAGGCAGGGUUUUGCUGCAGAGAGAGGGAGAGGGUCACCUGCUGGGUCGUGUUUCAGCAUCACACCCUGUUUUAUUCUCUUUUUCCCUUUCUCUGCAGCACACCCCUGGUACAAAGGAUUUGACACCGGGCGAUUAUCUGAAACCGGAGACACAAGGUGUUGGUGCAUCUCUGGUUACAGAUAUUAUACUGAAGCCUUUGCUCUUCCUGCUCAUGAGCAUGUUACCCUGUGGGUUUUUGUUUGUUUGUUUGUUUUGUUUCCCUAUGUAAUUAAUGCAGUGAAGCAAAAACACUGUCCAUAUAACUGUAAGGAUGUCAGGUGACCAGAUAUAACUACUCAUUUUUAAGGUGACAGAUAGACGGAUAUCUGAGGUAGUCUUCAUUUUUGAAUAUUCAUGUUUUGAAAAUGACAGCUACACUCAUCUACUUGGGGUGUCUGUGGUUGUUGGCUAUCGUCAAUUUCUGGACCCGAGGCUUCCCUGAGGUCAAAGUAGAAAUAUUCAGCAACUGCCUGAGCUACACAGAUGUUGUGCAUCCCCUUGACAGUGUUUACUAUUUGCAGGAUUAUUUUAAAUAAAUAACACUUUCAAUCUGAGAGUUUGUCGUCUCCAUCAAGAUGGCCUCAUACAGCAGUAAAGAGAAGAAGAAGAAAAAAAAGAAAGGAAUAGAGAUACAAGUAGGCAAGAAAGGAAGAGAGGGAGAUAGGGAGCCAACUAAGCUGCGUGCUAUCCCAUAGUUUAUUAACAUUUGAUUAGCAUAAUGAAUAUUCAGCCCCAUUAUUAUCUUAUUGUUCCUCUUUGCAUAGUAUGUUAAGUAUGAAAAGUUUCUUCUGUGGGUUUUUUCAUUGCAAAUUUUGCCCCUGGAGAAUGAGUUCUCCUUAUCAAAAGAGUCUUAAGACUAAGGAUUAGGCAGAAAAAAACAAAGGAAAAGGAAAAUAUGUUGCAAGGAACAUGUCUCAUGUCUCGUAAAAUCCAAAGCCAAAUGAUUUCUAUCAUGCAUCUAAGACUUACAAGAGAUUGUUGACCAGGAUACAGUUUUAAAAUGUGUGCGCUCUGUGCCUGUUGUUAUCUUUAUAUGGCAGUAGCGUUACAUUUCAAUGCGCCAGUAUCUAACCCGCUGGUUAAAUUUGUUUUGAAGAUUGUUUAAGAGGCGAUUGUCAAACUGAAACAGCAUCAGCUUGGCACCGGGCCAACAUCUGUGGCUGAAAUGCAGAUCAGCACGGGAGCAGGAGCCCGUCGUUGCCAGCUCCUGAUCUGCCCCUGAGGCAGAGCUGGAAGAAGAUGCGGGGAAUUGCUCCUGAAGGCUCCUGGCUCCCAGGAUGGCCCAGAGACACCUCGGGGCGGCCGGGUGGGCUCUGCCCGGGUGCUGCCUGAGGGAGGCCCCUGGCACAGCCUCCCCACAGCCAGGCCCAGCCGUUGCUCAAUAAAUCAUUCUGGCUGCAGAAGAGAGGCCGGGGGGAAGGAAGAGGAACCACGAGUGUUGAUUUGUUUUUCUUUAAAGCCCAGGCUCAGGGCAGCCAUGGCCCCACCUCGCAACUUUCAGCCCAGGGAAGGCCGUGCACCCAUCAGACCCUCGGUACCGGCUCCUCCAGAGGGGCAUGAGGACCCAUGAGGGUGGUGUAGGUGUGUGGCUGAGGUGUGGGGAAGCGGAGGCUGGGGCUCUGCGCUGGGAAAGUCUCUGGGCAGUUUUCUCUUCAGAUCAAUGAACGCGCUCGGAAAAAGGAGCAGAGGAGCUCGCCAGCAUGGCUGGAGGGGGCCGCGGGGGCAGGCGGCCAAGGCAAACAAGGAAGCCACCUGAUGUGACCGGGGUCAGAUAAGAGAGUCGUCACUUCGGGAGCAGGUGCUUCCUGCACUGCGCGCUUGCCCAGCCCUAGCCCCGCCGCCUGCGAGGCAGCCUGUGGCCGACAGCUCCCUGAGGCAGCCGCCUGGUGUCCUGGUCCUGGGUCGGGGCUCUCCAGGUCUUGUGCCCACCUGGUGAAUCCAGGAGGAGCAACGCCUCUCCUCAGCCCCACAGCUAGCACUGGUCUCAGGGCUCCUCCGUGCUGCUGGCUGCGAGCACUUGCUUUGAUCUGAGCACCCACAAAUGAUUAAAGGGAUUGUGCUGAAUGGAUAAUGGAGGACUGCUGUGGUGGGGAGCAAUGGAGACUGUUGGCUGGGGACACUGGCCACUCUAAGCUUGAAGUGAGCUUUGUAAGAUGCUGAGCUGGGCUGGGAGACUCCAGGCUUUGUUUUAGUCCCUUCAGGGUCCAGAUAAAACCAAACAAGGCCUUCAGGAGCUGAUUUCCCUCAUCUUUAUGCUGCUGAAGCCCAGACCCUAAUGCAGGAAAGAACCAUGCCAGGAGGUGCCUGAGAGAGACCCAGGAGUGUGGUAUGGCUGUAAUAGCACCCCAGAGCCAGACUCACCACCUGGGACAGCCCAUGGCUCCCCCUGCCCAAAGCAGGACCUCCACAGCAAGCAAGAGGCUCCAAAACAGGGUUACAUGGUGCACAGUUUCUUGACAGUAGCCUCCUCUGUAUACAGCGAUAGAUCAUAUUAAUGGAGAGGGAUUAGGUCAGCACUUCUUUUAGGAUCCAUGUGUAUAUAGGAGUAUAUAUCAUAUUAAUGAGGAGGGAUGAGGUCAGCACUUCUUUUAGGAUCCAUCUGUUGGCUGUUCUUCAGCAAUUCUGCUCUUUGCUCACUGCCGUCUCUUUUUUUCCUCCUGGCAAGCCACAUUUACUGGAGAACAUGGCUCUCCCUAUCUCUUCAAAUGCACUGACAUGUUUCCAGACCUGCCAGAAGAUGAAAGGAGGGCUUAAAUAGGAAACCCAGAGGGUGUCUUCCCCUUUCUUGUGUGCAGCCAAGACAUGAACACCAAAGUUCAGGCGGGAAGCUGGGGCCAUCUACAGCUGAUAGAAAAUGUAUUGGAGAAAGGAACCUAUUUGGGAGCAUACACAGUACAACUUGCCCAGGACAUAGGUAUGUGAUGUUGUCCUCAAAG
rnacentral:lncRNA from 1 species